rnacentral:snoRNA from 1 species
AAGCAGCACUCUGGCAAAUGAUCAAAAUUGACACAGUAUGAGCUUGAUGUAGCAAGAAGGUGUAACCUAUUUCACUGUUCUCCAUAAGAUCACAUGUUCAGCUUAAAAAA